GACAGAGGGUGCAAACGUUGUUCGGAAUUACUGGGCGUAAAGCGCGUGUAGACUGCUCAGAAAGUCGGAUGUGAAAGCCCUGGGCUUAACCUAGGAAGUGCAUUCGAAACUUCUGAGCUUGAGUUCUGGAGAGGAAGGCGGAAUUCUCGGUGUAGAGGUGAAAUUCGUAGAUAUCGAGAGGAACACCGGUGGCGAAGGCGGCCUUCUGGACAGUGACUGACGCUGAGACGCGAAAGCGUGGGGAGCAAACGGG
rnacentral:rRNA from 1 species